AAACAGCCCAGGAGGUCCUGCACCCAGCAGCAGUUCUCAAAGCCCAUGGAUGUCACCAGCCAGUGGGGAAGGAGAGUCUGUGCCUGCAGGUUGGCUUUGGCUGUGGCACAUCCAGUGCCUGAAGCAUCUUUCAUGGCACUCAGAGGAGACCAUGCUACUGCUGUUCCUGUUUAGGAGGAAUUUGGUUUUGCCUGGGCAGGAUUUAGCUGCAUUUGCAGCAAGGCAGGACUUGGCCUUCCCUCCACACAAUAUUCCCAGAGUUUUGCUGCCAUGCCAAGAUCUUUCCAGAAAUCCAGAGUCCCCUGCCUGCCAGCUGGGAUCAGCAUGGCACAUUCCAGAAGAGGAGCCUGACCAAGCAAAACGCACAUAUUAAACAGAUACUUAACAUUUCGUCGCACAAAGGCGCGGGAAUCGGGACAGCCACGGCGUCAGGGAUGGGCUACCCAACGUGGGCUACUCGAGACCCGCACGGCAGCCUGGCAAAGGACACUUUUCCCCG